rnacentral:rRNA from 1 species
UACGUUCCCGGGCCUUGUACACACCGCCCGUCACACCACGAGAGUUUGCAACACCCGAAGUCGGUGAGGUAACCUUUAUGGAGCCAGCCGCCGAAGGUGGGGCAGAUGAUUGGGGUGAAGUCGUAACAAGGUAGCCGUAUCGGAAGGUGCGGCUGGAUCACCUCCUUUCUAAGGA